rnacentral:rRNA from 1 species
GACGAACCGUCCAACCGUUAUUCGGAAUCACUGGGCUUACAGAGUUCGUAGGCGGUCUGGAAAGUUGGGUGUGAAAUCCCUCGGCUCAACCGAGGAACUGCGCUUGAAACUACCAGACUCGAGGGAGAUAGAGGAAAGCGGAACUGAUGGUGGAGCGGUGAAAUGCGUUGAUAUCAUCAGGAACACCGGUGGCGAAGGCGGGUCUCUGGGCAACAACUGACGCUGAGGAGCGAAAGCGUGGGGAGCGAACAGG